UAGGGAAUCUUCCACAAUGGACGCAAGUCUGAUGGAGCAACGCCGCGUGAGUGAAGAAGGCUUUCGGGUCGUAAAACUCUGUUAUUGAAGAAGAACGUGUGUGACAGUAACUGGUCAUGCAGUGACGGUAUUCAAUCAGAAAGUCACGGCUAACUACGUGCCAGCAGCCGCGGUAAUACGUAGGUGGCAAGCGUUGUCCGGAUUUAUUGGGCGUAAAGCGAGUGCAGGCGGUCUUUUAAGUCUGAUGUGAAAGCCUUCGGCUUAACCGAAGAAGGGCAUCGGAAACUGGGAGACUUGAGUGCAGAAGAGGAGAGUGGAACUCCAUGUGUAGCGGUGAAAUGCGUAGAUAUAUGGAAGAACACCAGUGGCGAAGGCGGCUCUCUGGUCUGUAACUGACGCU
rnacentral:rRNA from 1 species